UCGGGAAUCUUGGGCAAUGGGCGCAAGCCUGACCCAGCGACGCCGCGUGAGGGAUGAAGGCCUUCGGGUCGUAAACCUCUGUCAGGAGGGAAGAACGGCGGUGAGGUGAACAAUCUCGCUGUCUGACGGUACCUCCGAAGGAAGCGCAGGCUAACUCCGUGCCAGCAGCCGCGGUAAUACGGAGGGCGCAAGCGUUGUUCGGAAUCACUGGGCGUAAAGCGCGUGUAGGCGGCUUGGCAAGUCGGAUGUGAAAUCCCGAGGCUCAACCUCGGAACUGCACUCGAAACUGCCUGGCUCGAGUCCCGGAGAGGGUGGCGGAAUUCCCGGUGUAGGGGUGAAAUCCGUAGAUAUCGGGAGGAACACCAGUGGCGAAGGCGGCCACCUGGACGGUGACUGACGCUGAGACGCGAAAGCGUGGGGAGCAA
rnacentral:rRNA from 1 species